rnacentral:rRNA from 1 species
UACGUAGGGUGCAAGCGUUGUCCGGAAUUAUUGGGCGUAAAGAGCUCGUAGGCGGUUCGUCGCGUCGGCUGUGAAAACCUGAGGCUCAACCUCAGGCCUGCAGUCGAUACGGGCGGACUUGAGUACUGCAGGGGAGACUGGAAUUCCUGGUGUAGCGGUGGAAUGCGCAGAUAUCAGGAGGAACACCGGUGGCGAAGGCGGGAUCUCUGGGCCGAUACUGACGCUGGAGGAGCGAACACGUGGGGAGCAAACAGG